rnacentral:rRNA from 2 species
AUUUAAAGAUUUAUUUUUUUUUGUAUUAUUGUUCAAAAUAUUGUUUAUUUUAUUAAUUUUAUUGAAAAAAUUUUUUUUAUUAUAGAUAAUUAUUACAGUUAUGGAACGUUUAAAAAUUAAUAUAAGAAAUUCUAAUUUAGUGUACCUUUUGUAUCAGGGUUUAUUAAUAUAAAAUUUUUUAUUAAUUUUUCCCGAAUUUAUAGGAGUUAAUUAUAUAUUUAUUUCAAUGUUUCAUAAUUGUUUAAAAUAUGUUGUUGGAAAUUAAAUGUUAUUCGGUUAUAAAUAUAUCUGGUUCUUGUAGAAAUGAAUUUAAUUCGCGUGUAUAAAGGGUUAAUAAUAAUAUUUUUUGUUCUUUUUAUAUGUUUAAGAUUUAAAGGGAUUAGCUUUUAAAGGUUUUAUAAAUUUGGAGAUUUUAAUUGAGUUGUAGGAUUAGAAAUUUUCAUCAUUUUAAUUAUGUUAUAUUUUGUCUAUUUAGUUUAAUAUUUUCUUUGUAUUUAAGUUUUUUAUUCAAGAUUUAAAUUUAAUUUUUUUAUUUAAUUUAUAAUGGUAGAAUUAGUAAAACUUUUUGUUUUUUUUUUUUUUUAUUGUAGGUUUUGGAAAGGAAUUCGGCAAAUAUAUUUUUCGCCUGUUUAAUAAAAACAUGGCUUUAUUGAUUUUAUAUAAGGUUUAACCUGCUCACUGAUUUAUUGAAGAGCCGCAGUAUUUUGACUGUGCGAAGGUAGCAUAAUAAUUAGUUUCUUGAUUAGAAGCUGGAAUGAAUGGUUGGACGAGAAAGUUACUGUCUCUCUAAAAGUUUUUUUUGAAUUUUACUUUUAAGUUAAAAGGCUUAAAUUUUUUUAAAAGACGAGAAGACCCUAUAGAGUUUUAUAUUUAUAUAAAUUUAUUUAAUUUUGGUAUUUUUAUUUCUAAAUUUAUUAAGUAUUUGGUUGGGGUGAUUGGAAAAUUUAAUUAACUUUUCUUUGUUUUUAACACUUUUUUGUGAAUUUUUGAUCUUAUUUGUUUGAUUAAUAGAAUAAAUUACCUUAGGGAUAACAGCGUAAUUUUCUAUUAAAGUUCUUAUUAAAUAGGAAGAUUGCGACCUCGAUGUUGGAUUAAAGUUUAUUUUGGGUGUAGAAGCUUGAAAAUUAAGUCUGUUCGACUUUUAAAAUUUUACAUGAUCUGAGUUUAGACCGGCGUGAGCCAGGUUAGUUUCUAUCUUUAAAAAGAUUAAAUAUUCUAGUACGAGAGGACCGUUUAUUUAUUUAAAAAAUUUUAUUUGAUUAACAUU